rnacentral:sRNA from 4 species
AGGAACCGCUCGAACAACCCGGUUCCUGCGUAGCGUGCGCACCCACCUGACGGCAGCUCACUGCCUGCCGUCAGCC